rnacentral:lncRNA from 1 species
GUAACAAAGUUUGCUAUUGUUUUCAGUAACCUACACGCAGCCCUAGCGGAAUUACCCUCUAUGGACGGACGAGUGGUCGGGGGCUCGUUAGCACUAUCUGCUUCUUUGAGGUGACACUAGCUCUUUUCGUGAUUGGGAAGACGAUAACGUUCACGACUCGAUGAUUUAUGUUCGGGGUUCUGAUGAUUUCUGCUGUUCUUUUGAGGCAGUUGCAGCUCACCUGUUAGACUUCUGCUGCAUUCUGUUUCGUCAAGCACAACAUUUACAACACCCAGUGAAAUAUACGGAAAAAGUCAUUCAUGUUCGGCUAGAAAUAUCGAAACUGCCAGAUGUAAGGAAGACGGUUGCAAAGGGAAAUCGAAGAAAAAAGAAAUCU